UCGAGAAUCUUCGGCAAUGGGCGAAAGCCUGACCGAGCGAUGCCGCGUGCGGGAUGAAGGCCUUCGGGUUGUAAACCGCUGUCGUAGGGGAGAAAGGGUCGUUGAAGAAACGACUUUGAUCUAUCCUAGGAGGAAGUCCGGGCUAAGUUCGUGCCAGCAGCCGCGGUAACACGAACCGGACAAACGUUAUUCGGAAUUACUGGGCUUAAAGGGUGCGUAGGCGGUGCGGUAAGUGCGGUGUGAAAUCCCACGGCUCAACCGUGGAAUUGCGCUGCAUACUGCCGUGCUAGAGGGAGACAGGGGUAAGCGGAACUGAUGGUGGAGCGGUGAAAUGCGUUGAUAUCAUCAGGAACACCGGUGGCGAAAGCGGCUUACUGGGUCUCUUCUGACGCUGAGGCACGAAAGCUAGGGUAGCGAACGGGAUUAGAUACCCAAGUAGUCCCUGAGCGGGCUGGCAAGGCGCAU
rnacentral:rRNA from 1 species